CGAAAUAGUGAUAUAGAGCAAAACCCUAAAAACGGUCUCAGUUCGGAUUGAAGGCUGAAAUUCGCCUUCAUGAAGCUGGAAUUGCUAGUAAUGGCAGGUCAGCAUACUGCCGUGAAUACGUUCCCGGGCCUUGUACACACCGCCCGUCACACCAUGAGAGUUGGGAAUACCCGAAGCCUGUGAGCUAACUUAUAGAGGCAGCAGUCGAAGGUAGAAUCAAUGAUUGGGGUGAAGUCGUAACAAGGUACC
rnacentral:rRNA from 1 species